rnacentral:rRNA from 1 species
CCUACGGGAGGCAGCAGUGGGGAAUAUUGCACAAUGGGGGAAACCCUGAUGCAGCGACGCCGCGUGAGUGAAGAAGUAAUUCGUUAUGUAAAGCUCUAUCAGCAGGGAAGAAAAUGACGGUACCUGAGUAAGAAGCCCCGGCUAAAUACGUGCCAGCAGCCGCGGUAACACGUAGGGGGCAAGCGUUAUCCGGAUUUACUGGGUGUAAAGGGGACGGAGACGGCAGUGCAAGACUGUAGUGAAAGGCGGGGGCCUAACCCCCGGACUGCUCGGGAAACUGGACGGCUGGAGUGCAGGAGAGGUAAGGGGAAUUCCUAGUGUAGCGGUGAAAUGCGUAGAUAUUAGGAGGAACACCAGUGGCGAAGGCGGCUUACUGGACUGUAACUGACGUUGAGGCUCGAAAGCGUGGGGAGCAAACAGGAGUAGAUACCCCGGUAGUC